rnacentral:rRNA from 1 species
UACGGAGGGAUCUAGCGUUGUUCGGAAUUACUGGGCGUAAAGCGCGCGUAGGCGGCUUUGUAAGUUAGAGGUGAAAGCCCGGAGCUCAACUCCGGAACUGCCUUUAAAACUGCAUCGCUUGAAUCCAGGAGAGGUGAGUGGAAUUCCGAGUGUAGAGGUGAAAUUCGUAGAUAUUCGGAAGAACACCAGUGGCGAAGGCGGCUCACUGGACUGGUAUUGACGCUGAGGUGCGAAAGCGUGGGGAGCAAACAGG